UCUUCAUGUGGCCCCUCAACCCCCGGCUUUUAAUUAGGCUGAGGCUGUUGCAUUAGGCUCAGAUUUUUAUUGUUGACCUCUGCUGGGCCCACCUGUACUCCCAUCUCUGGCUUUUUUCCCUACAAUUUCUUUUCCUUUUUACAAUAUCCCUGUCAACCAUUUUCUUAACCAUUUGCUGGAUGCAAACUUUGACAGUCGUCUUCUUGUAAGAUUGUGAGUCUCAACUCCAGAGAACCAUGUCUCGAAGCGGAGGAGGAAGAGGAAAACAGUGGCUGCCAUCAGAACUGCAAGGCCUACCAGUUAUGGCCAAGGCUUCCUGCAGCGACUUGAUUUGAAGAGUUCAUCAAGAGGAGCUGUAGCCAAAGAGACCAAGAUGGGAGUGAUGUCAUCUUUUGGUGUCGUCUUCUGCUACAUCUGUGGGGUGAAGGAUG
rnacentral:lncRNA from 1 species